rnacentral:rRNA from 1 species
UACGGAGGGUGCGAGCGUUGUCCGGAAUCAUUGGGCGUAAAGGGCGCGUAGGUGGCCCGGUCAGUCUUUGGUGAAAGCGCGGGGCUCAACCCUGCGUCGGCCAGGGAUACUGCCGCGGCUCGAGCACUGUAGAGGCAGGCGGAAUUCCGGGUGUAGCGGUGGAAUGCGUAGAGAUCCGGAAGAACACCGGUGGCGAAGGCAGCCCCCUGGGCUGACACUGACGCUCAGGCACGAAAGCGUGGGGAGCAAACAGG